rnacentral:rRNA from 1 species
AAACCUAGUCCCACGUUCGGACGUGGAGUCUGCAACCCGACUCCACGAAGUUGGAUUCGCUAGUAAUCGCGCAUCAGCCAUGGCGCGGUGAAUACGUUCCCGGGCCUUGUACACACCGCCCGUCAAGCCAUGGGAGCCGGGGGCGCCUGAAGUCCGGGACCGCGAGGACCGGCCUAAGGCGAAACUGGUGACUGGGGCUAAGUCGUAACAAGGUAAC